GCCGGCGAGCCACGGUGGUGCGCCCGUCUUGUAAGCGGGCCGCUGCGAGUUCGACUCUCGCCGCCGGCU
rnacentral:tRNA from 1 species